rnacentral:rRNA from 7 species
AAAUUAAUAAUUACAACUUUUAACAACGGAUCUCUUGGUUCUGGCAUCGAUGAAGAACGCAGCGAAAUGCGAUAAGUAGUGUGAAUUGCAGAAUUCAGUGAAUCAUCGAAUCUUUGAACGCACAUUGCGCCCUUUGGUAUUCCAAAGGGCAUGC